rnacentral:rRNA from 1 species
UACGAAGGGGGCUAGCGUUGCUCGGAAUCACUGGGCGUAAAGCGCACGUAGGCGGAUUUCUAAGUCAGGGGUGAAAUCCUGGAGCUCAACUCCAGAACUGCCUUUGAUACUGGGGAUCUCGAGUCCGGGAGAGGUGAGUGGAACUGCGAGUGUAGAGGUGAAAUUCGUAGAUAUUAGGAAGAACACCAGUGGCGAAGGCGGCUCACUGGCCCGGUACUGACGCUGAGGCGCGAAAGCGUGGGGAGCAAACAGG